GGCAGAGUGGCAUAGUGGUAGGGAGCAGGGUUCAUAACCAAAAGGUUUCGGGGUCAAUUCCCCACUGAGGCA